rnacentral:lncRNA from 1 species
GGUGGUGUAGAGGUGCACUUCGAAGCCUCUUUUUAUUUUGUUUAUUUUUCUUGAUGAGGCUAUCUACCAAUUGAGGUUGUAUCUCAACCUCCUUCAUGCCUUGUGGGUUAGCCCUUGAAGCCCUUCAGUCGGUUGACAAACUAGCGACCUACUUAAACUAUGCGGCAAAGCUUGUCUUAAUUGUGUUUCAUCUUUUUUUCUUGUGUUGCAGAUAGUAGUGUCGUCUUUAGUGGAGCUAGCCAUCUUGGAGAUAUCUGGGUUGCAAGAAGAUCAUAACCAUAUCCGAUCAAGGUGCUAUAAUCACUGACAUUGGAAUGUCAGUUUCAUUUUGGAUGUCUAUGUCUUCUAAAAGCUAUAUAUUAGUUGUGGGUGUAUUUGGAUGUUAUUUCACUGUGAUUAAAAACUAUGUAAGUUGCUAUCAUUUUGUAUGGAUAUUUGCGUCGGUGGUGU